rnacentral:rRNA from 1 species
GGUCGGGAACGCACUCUCGUUUAGAUUGAAGGAGCUUGCUCCUGAUUGAUAAACAUUUGAGUGAGUGGCGGACGGGUGAGUAACACGUGGGUAACCUGCCCUAAAGUGGGGGAUAACAUUUGGAAACAGAUGCUAAUACCGCAUAAAACCUAACACCGCAUGGUGUAGGGUUGAAAGAUGGUUUCGGCUAUCACUUUAGGAUGGACCCGCGGUGCAUUAGUUAGUUGGUGAGGUAAAGGCUCACCAAGACCGUGAUGCAUAGCCGACCUGAGAGGGUAAUCGGCCACACUGGGACUGAGACACGGCCCAGACUCCUACGGGAGGCAGCAGUAGGGAAUCUUCCACAAUGGACGAAAGUCUGAUGGAGCAACGCCGCGUGAGUGAAGAAGGUUUUCGGAUCGUAAAACUCUGUUGUUGGAGAAGAAUGUAUCUGAUAGUAACUGAUCAGGUAGUGACGGUAUCCAACCAGAAAGCCACGGCUAACUACGUGCCAGCAGCCGCGGUAAUACGUAGGUGGCAAGCGUUGUCCGGAUUUAUUGGGCGUAAAGCGAGCGCAGGCGGUUUCUUAAGUCUGAUGUGAAAGCCUUCGGCUCAACCGAAGAAGUGCAUCGGAAACUGGGAAACUUGAGUGCAGAAGAGGACAGUGGAACUCCAUGUGUAGCGGUGAAAUGCGUAGAUAUAUGGAAGAACACCAGUGGCGAAGGCGGCUGUCUGGUCUGUAACUGACGCUGAGGCUCGAAAGCAUGGGUAGCAAACAGGAUUAGAUACCCUGGUAGUCCAUGCCGUAAACGAUGAGUGCUAGGUGUUGGAGGGUUUCCGCCCUUCAGUGCCGCAGCUAACGCAUUAAGCACUCCGCCUGGGGAGUACGACCGCAAGGUUGAAACUCAAAGGAAUUGACGGGGGCCCGCACAAGCGGUGGAGCAUGUGGUUUAAUUCGAAGCAACGCGAAGAACCUUACCAGGUCUUGACAUCCUUUGACCACUCUAGAGAUAGAGCUUUCCCUUCGGGGACAAAGUGACAGGUGGUGCAUGGUUGUCGUCAGCUCGUGUCCUGAGAUGUUG